rnacentral:lncRNA from 1 species
AGUACUAAAUCAGGAUCAGGACAACCAUUUGAACUGAGUAAACUAACAUAUCUACAUCCACAUCUGUGGGUCUCCUUUGCUUCUGGGCUACUCACUGGCAAAAGUCCUGAGCGGCUCUCACAAUAUCUGCUUUUCCAUCUUCCGGCAAUAGCACCUUCACUGCCAAAUGGCAAUUUAAAACUUGAUCAUCUUUGUCAUUACUAUUUGCAAACUCUGGUGAGCAUUUUGAACAAUCUAGGCCCAGAAGUUCUUGCUGUUGUUUUAAAAUUCCAUCCAUCAAUCUGGAAUUAUUUCUUUUGAAAAUACCUUGGUGGUCGUAGACGCUAAUGUAGGAGAUGCCCACGGCCAUACACCACACCACGAGGCUCUCGAUGUCCGAGAAGCUGGGUUCCUGCUCCACCUCGGUGAUCACCAGGCCCAUGUGCACAGGCAGCUUCUCCAGGGAAGGGCCGUCCGCGCGCCAGCGCACCUGGUGGUGGGCUGCGGGCAGGCACGACCCCCGGCGCGGGUGCGGGUGGUGAUGGCGGUUCCUGCAGACGCCUGGGACUUGCGGAGCGUGAAGCCGAGCGGCGCUAGGACCGCGGCAGAGGCGGCGCGCCGGCACAGUCGCCAGAUCCAGUUCCAAGUGCCGAACCGAACGCGGAGCCAGGAGAUGCAGUCUCACUCUGUGGCCCAGGCUGGAGUGCAGUGGCGUGAUCUUGGCUCACUGCAACCUCCAUCUCCUGAGUUCAAGCAAUUCUCCUGUCUCAGCCUCCUAAAUAGUUGGAAUUACAGGCAAGCACCACCACGCUCAGCUACAGGAAUUUAGCCAAUUCAGAGGAAAUCUUCCCCAUAAUUAUGGAACUUUCUUACAGAUUUUACCAAGUCUGGUCAACCCAAUAAGAAAAAGACUGAAAUAACAACAACAACUUCAACAAAUAAAAAAAAACAGUUAAGCUAAAUAAACAGAUGAUUGCAGAAUUUAUGUGAUUACUGGGUACUCUAAUGGUAAGGAGAAAUUAAGACCAGCUAGUUGUUAAUCUUAACUUUUAGUCAUUAAGGAGAAUUUCCAAGACAAAACUGCAAUCCAGCUGCUUACCUAGGAAUACGGCUUAGGCUGAAAACUUCUAUCGUCUUAGAAAUGGGAAUAAACCUCACACUCACCGUCCCUGUUGGAAGCAAGCUGAAACUCCAAAAAAAAAGUUGCCUGUUGUCCAUCAUCAUGGUGAAGCGGCGUCGUUGUCUGGGAACCCAAUUGGAGACGUUGGAUAUUUUAUCAAGUCUUUGACUGGAAUGACAUUUUUUCAGAAAUAACCAGACUGCUUUGAGGAAUUAAAAUUGACUUUAAGGGCUGAGAAAAACCCCUUGGAAAAACUGGCAUGGUACCCUCUGCAUGCAAUUCCUUUACAAAGCUCCUGACCUGUGUUCUGAAGGCUGGGAAGUCCAAGAUUAAGGCGUCAACAGGUCUUGUGUCUGCUGAGGGCUGUCUCCCUGAUUUGCAGAUGUCUGCUUUCUUGCUGUGUCCUCACAUGGGAAAAAGAGAGAGAAUUUGCUGGUAUUCCUUUUUAUAAGGACACUAACCCCAUUCAUGAGGGUCCCACCCUCAUGACCUCGCCUAAACCUAUAACCUCCAAGGACUCCAUUUCCAAAUACCAGCAACCACAUGUGUGAGCUUAGAAGAGGAUCCUUCCCCAGGUGAGCCUUGAGAUGACCCUGGCCUGUGACUUGAUGGCAGCUUUUGAGAGACUGAGCCAGAGGCCUCCAGGUAAGCCCUUCUCAGAUUCCUGAACCACAGAAACUGUGAGAUAAUCAAUUUUAUUGAUAUCUUGUGGAUAUUGAUAUCCCCAGUUUUAUUGUGGAAUAGAUAACUGCCACACAGCUCCUGACAACUGGCAUCUUGACACAUGUUCUGUGCUCCAGGUCCCAGUAACUGUGCCCAUCCAUUGUUACCACAGGUCACAGUGGCCCUGGCCCUGGGGCAUUAUACUCUCUCUUGGUGUAUUAGUCCAUUCUUAGGCUGCUAAUAAAGAUAUAUCUGAGACUGGGUAAUGUAUAAAGAAAAA